AUGUGAUCGUCUCUCGCAUAUCAAUAAGCGGAGGAAAAGAAACUAACAAGGAUUCCCCUAGUAACGGCGAGUGAAGCGGGAAGAGCUCAAAUUUGAAAUCUUAAAGGGUUUCCCUUUACGAAUUGUAGUUUAAAGAAGUGUUUUCUGUUGAGGUUUUGGUAAAAGUUCUUUGGAAUAGGACAUCAUAGAGGGUGAGAAUCCCGUAUUUGACCUUUACUUUCAACUUUGUGAUAGCACUUUCAAAGAGUCGGAUUGUUUGGGAAUGCAGUCCAAAAUGGGUGGUAAAUUUCAUCUAAAGCUAAAUAUUGGCGAGAGACCGAUAGCGAACAAGUACCGUGAGGGAAAGAUGAAAAGAACUUUGAAAGGAGAGUUAAACAGUACGUGAAGUUGUCAAAAGGGAAGCGUUUGACACCAGUGUUGUUUUUCUGAAAAUCAAUUAAAGAACUGUUUAUGCCUAAGUUGUUUAGACUUUAUCAGCUAUCUGCUUAGUUUUGAGCUUUUCUUUAAUGCACUUUUCAGUUAACAAGUCAACAUCAAUUUCUUUUGCUGUAAAAAAGCUUGAGGAAGGUGGCUUGAGAUUCGUCUUAAGUGUUUAUAGCCUCUUGCCUAUGCAGUCGGAGAGAUUGAGGUCUGCAGCGUAGAUCCUUCGGGGCUAAAUGCAUUUGUGCUAAGUUAUAGCAUUUUAUAGACAACUUGUUGACUAUGAUUUGUCUUGUAGCUUACUCGCUUAUGUUAUUUUACCUACGCUUAGGAUGUUGAGUAGCGACAUACGCAC
rnacentral:rRNA from 1 species